UAUGAGAGUCCAAUGGAUUAA
rnacentral:piRNA from 1 species